rnacentral:lncRNA from 1 species
AGUGUUUUAAAAAAUCGAAAUUAAUUGUCAAAAAUUUUAUUCCUUCGAUCAUUCACUAACAAAUACGUCUUAAAAGGUCAUGUGAAUUUUAAGCCGAUCGGCUCAGCCGUUUAAGGGAAAUAUUUCUUGCUGCCUCUUAGAACAGCUUUUCGGGAAAACGAAUUUAAAGUUUUGUAAACCGUUUACGCUAAGUACGAACGCCACGAGACGCUCUCAAUGAUACCAUCAUAUCUAAGAGACUGAAACGGACCAGGAUCAAUUUACAAAAAUCGUAUCGAGGGUUCGAUUGCUUAAUAACCAAAUAUAAAAUUAUGAGUAUGCAAAGAUUUCAAUAUAAAUUACCAUAAAAUAAAUGGAGCAUUUAUUUCAUCUCAAAUGAAUGAAAUUCCCUGCCUAGGGGCAACCACACCGGAUCGGAUGCCCUCUGCUUUCCACUGCGGAUUGCCUGCAAAACUGAAGUAUUUUUAUCCAUCCGGAUGCCUUGAUCCAAACGCUGUCACUUAUUUCAUGAAACAACGUCCAUAUCGUCACAUAUUACAGCUUAUCGUUCCAUCGUUCGUAUUCUUGAAGUCUUUCCUUCAUCGUCCAUCGUAUGGUGCAGGAAACACUGUGCUCGUCUGCUUGUUAUAGGACAUACGUGACAUAAUUGCUGCAUUGAGUGAUGCAACUGAGCGAGCCAGGUGGUGAAUUUAUAUAGGUAUGUACACACUGAAAGGGUGAAAAUGGUUGACGUAAUUAUCUAUAAAUAUUAGUGAACACGACGAACACAUUUCUGGAUAAAAGAAGGCAUUUGUUUUUUAACAUUAUCUAAAAUGUAUUAAAAAAAAAUCAA